UUUUGGUGGAGUGGCAGUGCAAUCUUGCAGUCCGAUGGAAUUUGAGUUCUGGUUCCGCAAAGGAGUUAGUGUGGUGCGAGCGAGGCGCCAAGGCUGAAGAGCUCUGACUCAGGGUGGGACAGGAUUCGUGUGUGAGGCGUUUCGUCGCGGAGGACAAUGGGCUUUACAGAAGCGUUGUUGAGUGGACGAACUCGAAGGUAGGUCAGUGUGGUUUGAGAUGCCAAGGCCGUGGGUGGCUCUGAUCAGAGGUCUGGGAGUGGUUCUGCUGACAACGAAGUUGGAGCAUCGACGAAGGCAUCGAUGGUUCAAGUGGGGGAGGAUGUCACGGGUCAAUCAUUAGGACUCGACCGUGACGCUCUUGGGGGCCAUAUUUAGUAGUCAUUGAGUUGCCGAAGCUAUGGAGUUGCGGAGUUGAAGCGUUCCGUCAGGUGGGAGCCGCUGUCAAGUCUACGGAGGCAAUUCUCUAGCAAUGGCCCAUGUCAUGGCAAGGAUUUUGGUACCGCAUGCGGGGUUUCAAAACGUACCCCUCGGUGGGCACCUUUGUACCCCCGGGGUGCCAAAGGGCUGGAUGUCCUGCAUGGUAUAUAGGAGGAGGGGUGGACACUGCGUAGAGUGGCCCCGACUCCCCCGCCGACUCAUACGACAUGGGUCGUCCCUUGGCUAGCGGAGUAGUCAAGCCUAGUGUUUCGUGUGACUGUGCAACGGAUGGUUGAAGGGUCACGAGCCUAGGGCAAUGUCGGAGACAGAGGUCGACGACAUUGUGGAGUGGGAAGCACCCGGGAGGCUUUGCUCCUAGGUUCGCUUGCACUACCUUAUGCCGGCUCGGAUCUCUGUGAGGGAGCGCAUGAGCGGAUGAGGGUUAGUCUUGCGACGGAUGGCCCGCCGUAGAGGGCAAGGCUCGCUAAGGCAAGUGUGCUGAG
rnacentral:lncRNA from 1 species